GCGUCGGUGGCAGAGUGGUCAAAUGCAUCAGGCUGUAAACCUGACGGAUUUAUCCUACGUAGGUUCAAAUCCUACUCGGCGCA
rnacentral:tRNA from 1 species